rnacentral:rRNA from 1 species
CGUUUAGGGGUAAACCUGAAAAACCCGAAAGGUCGAAGGGAGAAAUUCAUUCGCGUUUCGAUGUUGGCGAGGAGCGAAGUCGCGUGACGGAAAUGUGUUCGCGCACAUUUUCGCACCCUUUGUUCUCUCGAACUGGCAACGAACGCGUGCACUUUUCUCCUGGUAGGACGUCGCGAUCCGUUGGGUGUCGGUCUACGGCAUGCGGUGGAGCCCGUUCAUCAUGUCUCAUGAUGAAUGGACCCGCAUUGUUUCCGGCCGACUCGCUCGACGGUAUACGAAAGGUUUGAGGCCGCUCACUAUUCGGAGCGUUCGACUCGUUGCAAGCGCGCCAGAUGCCGUUGGUGAUCGGACCUAGUGCCGAUUCUGACCUCUGGUGGCUGUUGGCAGCGAUGUUCUCGAACAGACCUCACGACCGAUCUGCGACGCUAUAGCUUUGGGUACUUUCAGGACCCGUCUUGAAACACGGACCAAGGAGUCUAGCAUGUACGCAAGUCAUUGGGAAUCACUAAACCUAAAGGCGCAAUGAAAGUAAAGGUCUUCCUUGCGAAGGCCAAGGGAAGACGGGCGGUUCAACCGUUAAAAGUCGGCCGCUCAGCAUUCCCGGGGCGUCUCAUUCUCAUUGCGAGAAGAGGCGCACCAAGAGCGUACACGCUGGGACCCGAAAGAUGGUGAACUAUGCCUGGUCAGGACGAAGUCAGGGGAAACCCUGAUGGAGGUCCGUAGCGAUUCUGACGUGCAAAUCGAUCGUCGGAACUGGGUAUAGGGGCGAAAGACUAAUCGAACCAUC